UACGUAGGGUGCGAGCGUUAAUCGGAAUUACUGGGCGUAAAGCGUGCGCAGGCGGUCUUGCAAGACAGAUGUGAAAGCCCCGGGCUUAACCUGGGAACUGCAUUUGUGACUGCAAGGCUGGAGUGCGGCAGAGGGGGAUGGAAUUCCGCGUGUAGCAGUGAAAUGCGUAGAUAUGCGGAGGAACACCGAUGGCGAAGGCAAUCCCCUGGGCCUGCACUGACGCUCAUGCACGAAAGCGUGGGGAGCAAACGGG
rnacentral:rRNA from 1 species